rnacentral:rRNA from 1 species
CCUACGGGUGGCAGCAGUGGGGAAUCUUGGGCAAUGGGCGCAAGCCUGACGCAGCAACGCCGCGUGAAGGAAGAAGGCUUUCGGGUUGUAAACUUCUUUUAUGGGGGAAGAGCAGAAGACGGUACCCCUUGAAUAAGCUACGGCUAACUACGUGCCAGCAGCCGCGGUAAUACGUAGGUGGCAAGCGUUGUCCGGCUUUACUGGGUGGAAAGGGCGUGCAGCCGGUGAGACAAGUCAGAUGUGAAAUCCACGGGCUCAACCCGUGAACUGCAUUUGAAACUGGUUGCCUUGAGUGUCGGAGAGGUAAGCGGAAUUCCUUGUGUAGCGGUGAAAUGCGUAGAUAUAAGGAAGAACACCAGUGGCGAAGGCGGAUUACUGGACGAUAACUGACGGUGAGGCGCGAAAGCGUGGGGAGCAAACAGGAUUAGAUACCCCGGUAGUC